CAACAACUUGAAGAAAUUGGUAGCGGCGAAUUUGGUACUGCUUUCAAGUGCAUCCAUCGGCUGGACGGUUGCGUUUACGCUAUAAAGCGAAUAAAAAGGCCCAUUAUGGGGUCAUAUAAAGAACAAAAAAUUUUAAGAGAAGUGUACGCCCACGCAGUACUUGGCGUGAAUAAGCACGUUGUUCGCUAUUAUUCGGCGUGGAAGGAAGAGAACUUUUUAUUUAUUCAGAAUGAAUAUUGCAAUUGUGGUUCACUCGAGAAAUUUCGAUCUAAAAUCUGCAGCUCCGCUCUUAACCAGUCGUUUUUAUUAUCAGUUCUUAGACAAGUGGCCAGUGGAUUAAGAUUUCUUCAUCGUCAAGGUCUUGUUCAUUUGGAUAUCAAACCAGAAAAUAUUUUUGUUUCGGAG